GUUCCACCAUGGCUCUGCGGCUGGAGCCUGUGGGGCCUGGCAGGCUCCAGCCUCCGCCGCUCGUCUCGGGAUGAUUCCUGCCCGCUCCCUUCCCUGAGGUCAGGGCCGAGCGGACGGCGCCGGCGGAGCUCAGUUCAAAGCCAACCACCCAACCAUCAGCCUCCCAGCGCUUACACACGUGGGCCAGAAGAGGACAGAAAAGCCCAUCUCCAAACGCAGGCAGCCAUCAGUUUGAAUGACAGUCUCUCAAAUGCGAACUUGCUUUCCCUUCACAACUUUUAACUUUCCGAUUUCUUUGCCACAGUAGUGUGGGCAUAUCUGCACACGCCUCUCCAGCUGAGGGAGUCAAGAAAGAUGGCCAGCGGUGCGCUGCAUUUUAGUGCUUCCAAACAGACUGCACAGAAGGGGCAGGUGGAAGACACUGUACUGACUCAGUGACUGUUAAGGAUGUGGCUGUGGAUUUUAUCACAGAAGAAUGGGCAUUGCUGGAUGUUUCUCAGAAGCAACUUUGUAGAGAGGUGAUGGUGGAGACCUUCACAAACCUAGCUAUAGUAGGAGUUUUCCACAGUGAAUAGGAAUUACAUGUGCUGACAAAGUGAACAUCUAAUGGGAACUCUUAGGAAUACUUCCUUUGUAACUUCAGAGUGACAGGAUUAAGGACCUGUGCUGUGAAGAGGCAAACGUUUCCAACCGUGGUGCACGCCUAAGGGCAAGUUACCCAAUUAACCUGUCUCCACCUGUAAAACAGAGAGAAACAGGAAGCAGAAAAUGGAAUGCUCAUCACAAUUCAAGUGCUGCCCCGUCAUAAUGUGCUUCAGGCCCUUUCUCUCAAAAGUGGUGACAAGACACAAGAGGAAUCCCAACCUAAUACUCUGAGAUUUAAAAAAUCAGACGGAAGAUAGUGUCCAGGUAGAAUCACCCACCUGGUGCUCCUGCUGUCAGACCAGAUAAUUAAGAGGCAUGGGAAGCAAGCUCAAGGAGAAAG